AGAUUGAACGCUGGCGGCAGGCCUAACACAUGCAAGUCGAGCGGCAGCACGGGUACUUGUACCUGGUGGCGAGCGGCGGACGGGUGAGUAAUGCCUAGGAAUCUGCCUGGUAGUGGGGGAUAACGCUCGGAAACGGACGCUAAUACCGCAUACGUCCUACGGGAGAAAGCAGGGGGACCUUCGGGCCUUGCGCUAUCAGAUGAGCCUAGGUCGGAUUAGCUAGUUGGGUGGGUAAUGGCUCACCAAGGCGACGAUCCGUAACUGGUCUGAGAGGAUGAUCAGUCACACUGGAACUGAGACACGGUCCAGACUCCGUACGGGAGGCAGCAGUGGGAAUAGUGGACAAGUGGGACGAAAGCCUGACUCCAGCCAUCGGCCGCGUGUGUAGAAGGAGGUCUUCGGA
rnacentral:rRNA from 1 species